rnacentral:rRNA from 1 species
AUUGAACGCUGGCGGCAGGCCUAACACAUGCAAGUCGAGCGGAUGAGUGGAGCUUGCUCCAUGAUUCAGCGGCGGACGGGUGAGUAAUGCCUAGGAAUCUGCCUGGUAGUGGGGGACAACGUUUCGAAAGGAACGCUAAUACCGCAUACGUCCUACGGGAGAAAGUGGGGGAUCUUCGGACCUCACGCUAUCAGAUGAGCCUAGGUCGGAUUAGCUAGUUGGUGAGGUAAAGGCUCACCAAGGCGACGAUCCGUAACUGGUCUGAGAGGAUGAUCAGUCACACUGGAACUUGGACACGGUCCAGACUCCUACGGGAGGCAGCAGUGGGGAAUAUUGGACAAUGGGCGAAAGCCUGAUCCAGCCAUGCCGCGUGUGUGAAGAAGGUCUUCGGAUUGUAAAGCACUUUAAGUUGGGAGGAAGGGCAGUAAGUUAAUACCUUGCUGUUUUGACGUUACCAACAGAAUAAGCACCGGCUAACUUCGUG